rnacentral:rRNA from 1 species
AGUACGGGGGCUGAAUCCUGGCCACUGGCGGUACGUGAAACCCGGGUUCAACCGGGCGAAGCGCCGCCGAAGGCCGGGAGUAACUCUGACUCUCUUAAGGUAGCCAAAUGCCUUGCCGGGUAAGUUCCGGCGCGCAUGAAUGGAUCAACGAGGUCCCCGCUGUCCCAGCCUGGGACCCGCUGAACCCGCAACCAGGUGCACAGUCCUGGGAGUCCCGGUGGGGCGAGAAGACCCCGUGGAGCUUUACAGCAGCCUGGCGUUGGGAUACGGUUGCGGGUGCGUAGCGUAGGCGGGAGCAAUGAACCUAGCCUUCCGGGGCUAGGGGAUGCGGUCAUGAAACACCGCCCACUCGCGACUGUGUCCCUAACCCUGGGACGUUACCCGGGGGACAGCGCUAGGUGGGCUGUUUGGCUGGGGCGGCACACCCCUGAGAAGGUAUCAGGGGUGCCCAAAGCUCGGCUCAGGCGGGUCAGAACUCCGCCGUAGAGGGCAAGGCCAAAAGCCGGGCUGACUGCGCCCUUAAACGCAUGGGGCGCAGGCGGGAAACCGGGGCCUAGCGAACGCUCGUGCCCCCUUCGGUGGGGGCCGGGCAUGACAGAAAAGUUACCCCGGGAGUAACCGGCUCGUCGCGGGCGAGAGUUCACAUCGACCCCGCGGUUUGGUACCCAGACGUCGUCUCUUCCUAGCUUGGCCCUGCAGCAGGGGCCAAGAGUGGGGCUGCUCGCCCAUUAAAAGGGAACGUGAGAUGGGUUUAGACCGUCGCGAGACAGGUCGGACUCUACCUGCCGGGACCGUUGGCCGCCUGAGGGGAUGGUCCGCACAGUACGAGAGGAACUGCGGGCCGUGGCCUCUAGUGUACCGGUUGUCCGGCAGGGCACUGCCGGGCAGCCACGCCGCAAGGGGUAACCGCUGAAGGCAUCUAAGCGGGAAACCCACCCCGAGACGAGGCGGCCGCUCCCGACCUUGGCUUACCGGUGACGGGGGCUGGGUCGGGACGAGGGCACCCGUAGAAGACGGGGUUGAUGGGGUGGCGGUGUAGGCACCGAGGGUUUCCGAGGUGCGAGCCGGCCACUCCCAAUGGCC